CUGAGUGCAAGAACCUAUGGGUCUGUAGUGGAAAUGCUAAGUCAUGGCCUGAACCAGUGAUGGAGAACCUGGUGGGAAGGCAGGGCCAACCCAGGGGAGCUCAGGUGCAUGCAAUGAACUUGGGUGACCAGAAGGGGUGGAGCCAGGAUCCACCCCUUCCUAGACUCAUUUAACGGUUGGCAGUGGAGACAAGGGUAUUUUGCUGGUGAGGCCUGCAUCUGGGGGGCCUUUUGAAGCUUUCUGCCCCUUCUGUUUGGCCACCAGCACCAUCUGCUGCCCCAGCCCUUCAUGCUUUGAAGAUGCAGCAGCAGCUUGGAGCAUCACACUUGCAUGCUUGCAGACAUCCCAUGAGGAACAGCACCUGGUGGUCUUCAUCUCCCCUCCUCAGAAGGUGUGUGAGCAAUCCAACCUGUGCCUUCGGCAUCAUGGAACAGUGUGCCCAGGGAGGUGGUGGAGUUACUGUCCCUGAAGGACAGACAGAGAGACAGCAGCUGGGAUGCAGCCACCUGGGGAGAUGCCCGCCUGCUGCAGACAGACAGCUGGCUCUGCGGAUGGACAGACAAGUGUCGAACUCUUUGACAUGCUUGAAAAGCCCUCUGGAAGCCUCUAUCAGCUCUGGAGGUGGUCACCCACCUGCUAAUACUGGGGGACAUUUGGGCUGCCCAGGUGAUGGGACCUUCUUCUAGAACUGUAAAUAAAUAAACCCUGCUGGGACCUGAGGCACAGGUUCGGAGGAGAAGCAGAACUUGUUGUGCAAGUUGCAACGUGGUGCUAAGUAAGGUGGGGGAGCUGCACUAUAUGUAUAUUUUAUAAUACAUGGAAAGUGACUUUUAAAGGAUCUCAGGUGAUGUUGUGAUGACAAGUGGACCCAAAACUGCCCUGAAACUCAGUUACUGCUAUCUGGUGUUGCUUGGAAGUGUAGAGGUUUAAUCAUGGAAUCAUAGAGUAGUUUGAGUUGGAAGAGACCCUUAAAGUUCAUCUAGUCCAACCCCCCCACAAUGAGCAGGGACACCCACAGCUCCAUCAGGUGCUCACAGCCCCAUCCAGCCUGACCUUGAGUGUCUCCAGGGAUGGGGCACCACCACCUCUCUGGGCAACCUGAGCCAGUACCUCACUGCCCUCGCUGUAAAAAACUUUUUCCUUAUCCAAUCUAAAUCUCCCCUCUUUUCAUUUGAAACCAUUUGCCUUGUACUGUCACAACAGAUCCUGCUAAAUAGUCUGUCCCUUUCUUUCCUAUAGCCCCCUUAGAUACCAAAGUCAUUCUGCUUGUCUCUCCUGUUCUCUCCAUCCCUUCCGUUUGCUGCCUUUUUCCCUCCGGCUCCUGCUUAGCCGUGCGGAUCCAUGUCUCCUGCUGCUCUGUCCUGCUGGAACUUGUGCCUGGUUCCUGCUCUUCCUCCUGUAUCUCCCAUGCAAACAUGCCUCUCUUUUCUGAUGGCCUGUAAAGCACCAGAGCAAGGGAAGGGGGUAAUAUCACAUUCAGAUACUUACAAUGAAGAAGCCUUCAGUACUCUAAAGCUCCAGUGUGCAAGAUGCACACACACACACACACACACACACACACACACACAAAAUGGGAUACAUCUCAAAAACUUUUUAAGUUGCAAAUUUUUCAAUACCAAGACCAAGGGAUCUCAGUCUUGGAUACUCAAUAGGCAAGAGACAUAGGAGAUGAGAGGCAGAAAAUACCAUCAUAGACAAUGGCUAAUGGUCACCCAGGAGGUUGUUGUAAGGUGUGGAAGGCAGAUGGACAGUUUUGACCCAGCAAGAGUGAGUGGAAGCCCACAUUUCAGUGCUUGGUGGACCACCAAUAUAUAGUCUUAAAUACAUGUUCGAGUAUCCCAGUAACCCAGAGUCCUGGCCUCCAUUUAAACCCCCCCACCUCUUAUCAAACCUGGCAGCAUGAAAAAAAGAGGAAAAGCAGAAUGUCUCCAUAUGGGAGGCAUCACUGCAAAAGCAGAACUGGGGGGAAAAGAAAGAGAAAAUGAGUGAAUGAGUGAGGACAGAAGAGCUCAUUUUUGUCUAUUGAAAAGAUUCUGUUUAAUAAAAAAUUGAUGACAUUUUAGUCACUGAGAUAGGCCUG